ACUCUGCCCUACAUAUGCGUAGCCAUCACUUACCAGAAUGCCAGGAUGGUACUUUUUUUUUUUUUUUUUUUUAUCCAAGGACAAGCCUACAUUGAUGCAUCUUGGUCAACCAAAGUCCGUAAGUUUGCCUUAAGGUUCACUCUUGGUGUUGUACCUGUUAUGGGUAUAAACAAAUGUAUGAUGCAUCAUCAUUCUAAAAGUGUAUAAAAUAUUUCCACUGCCCCCCAAAUCCUCUGUGCUCUGCUUAUUCAUGUCCCCCCCUUCCAACCUCUGGCAACCGCUGAUCUUUUGAUUGUCUCCAUAGUUUUUCCUUUUCUAGAAUGUCAUUUAGUUGGAAUCGAACAGCAUGUAGUACUUUCAGAUUGUUUUUUUUUUUUUUCAUUUAGUAAAACGUAUUUAUUAUUGCUCCAUGUCUUUUCAUGGCUUGAUCACUCAUUCGAGCACUAAGUAAUAUUCCAUUUCUGGAUGUACCACCGUUCAUGUAUCCAUAUUCACCUACUGAAGAACAUCUUAGGAUGUUUUCAAGUUUGGCACUUAUAAAUAAGGCUGCAAUAAAUAUCUACAUGUAGGGUUUUGUGUGGAUAGAAGUUUUCACCUACUCUGCGUGAAUACCAAGAAGUGGGAUUGCUGAAUCACAUGGUAAGAAGACGUCUCCUUUUGUAAGAACCCACCUAACCGUGUUCCCGAGGGGCUGUGCCAUUUUGCAUCCCCACCCACCGUGCGUGAGGGUUCUUCUUGUUCCACAUCCUCACUGGCGUUUGGUGGUGUUGAUGUUUUGGAUUUUGGCCAUUCUAAUAAAUAUGUUGUGGCAUCUUGUUUUAAUUUGCAUCUCCCUGAUAACAUGUGAUGGCAGGGCACCUUUUCAUUUGCUCCUCUGCCAUAUCCGUCUGUCUUCUUGGGCGAGGUGUCUGUUAAGGUCUUAUUAAAGGCUGAAACAUAAGGUCGUUGUAAAUUUGAUCCAGUACCAUCAUGACUGAAGAGAAGAUCUUUCCAUGCUGAGACGUUACUUUAUUUGGCCUUUCCAUCCUCGGAAGUGGGGUUGCUCUCUGCACUGCACACCUACCAUACAGGUGUGUGCCUGGGAUAAAUCUCAGUCUCCUAAACGAGCCUCUUCCUUCAGGGACCCAGGAGACCCACCACUUCUUCCUGUGCAUCCUGCCCUUUCUCACUCUCGUGCCCAGGUCAUCAGAGAGUAGACUCCAUGGUUAGAUGUCUCUGGAUAAAGCAGUAUCAUCAGUUCCCCUUUAAUUUCUGUGUUCCUAAAAGGAGAAUGAUUCUUGGGUUGUGUAGCCAAGAAAGCAAAUGUUUUGGCAACAGCGUUGGCUUUGAAUUCAGGAGGCUGUAGUUCAAAUCCCCAUUUAUUAGGGAAGUUGCUUAAUCACUUCAAACUUCAGUAUUCUUCGUUAAAAAUGGGUAUCAAGGUCUCCUCCUUCUCAGGGCUCCUAGGAAGGACUGAAAUAGAUAAAUGUACUUAGAUAUGGUUGUUAAACUGUAAAAUGUCACGUUAGGUUUGGAUGUCACCACAUUCACCACCGAUGAUAACCUAUGUAAUUGUAAACACCUCAAGAGCCUCCAAGAUCUGCCAGACUCUGUUCCCGGGUCUCGCUGUGAUAAACUCCUUUCACUCACAGCCCUGAGAGGUAGGUACGAUGGAGAUGUCCAUUUUACAGAUGGGUAAACUCUGAAGUUAAGCAACGUGCUGCCAGAUCUCAUCGCCAGUAAAUGAAUGAGCUGGGGUUUGACUCUGGAUCAUAAGUUCAUGACCAUUAUACUACACGGCUUGUUUAACGACCCGAAGGCCAGGGAAGAUAAUGAUACUAAUUAUGACAUCAGAAUAAUGUUCAAGUCUUCAUUAUGGAUCAGUAAGUUUGAUGCUUUUCCGAUCAUCCGGUUCUCCGUAAUCACUGACCCAGUUGCUGAGUAAAUGUUUUUGGUAGAGCGAGGGGAUGACUCAGUGUGCCCAAGUUUAAAAUACGUGUCCUGAUACCGUGGGUCAACAUCUCAUUUCUCCUCUUGGUGACCGUGUUGUUGGGAAGAGCUAAAUUUAAACAGUAAUGUAAUCUUUUCAUUUGCCAUAAAAUAUUAAUAGUGAUCUUAAACUAUGUUUUCAAGGAAAUUAUCGGUCACAUCUGUGUCUCCACUGUAUUCUGCCACCUGCUUUAUUUUCGCUGUCUUCAACUUAGAUCAAAUGCAUUCAACUUGUAUUUAUUUCUUCUCAGGUAUUCAUGACACUUUAAAGAUUGUUUAGUUACACUUCUGCUUGUCAUCCCCAGCAGGUAGCCUGCCAAACAGAGUUACAACAUAUGCUAAUAGACGUGAAUGCUUCCUGGUGCUGUGGAGUUUUGUCCCUAAUACCUCAAAGAUCUUUGCUGAGUUUCCAUGCCCCCUGAUGGGGGAAUGCCUUGUAGUCAGCUCUGCCUUUUCGCAGUCAUUCUGUGUUUUAACUCAGUUAAUUCAAAGAUUCCCUUUCCUCAUUUUCGCGCCAGGAGUAGCAUCCAAUUCCUCGGGCUCCCACAGCAUCACAGUGUGAUGGAGCAGGAUCCGGCCGUGGUGGCAUCAGGGGAGGUGAGAGGAGUUCCGCGUGGUCUGUGGUCUUCAGUCGCGUGCUUGGUCGCGUCCUUGUUCUGGACUCAAGGCUCCCUUCGUUUACACUGAGCAAAUCUCAUCACUUACACGAUUCUUUGGGGGCCAUGGCAAAAGGGGAGAUUAUCUUGGGUUUCUGGGGAUUUGUGGGGGUGGAGGGUGGGAUGGACACUGUCACGUGUCUCCUGCACCUGCCCGUGUUUAACACCCUGACUUAUCCGCUGCUAAUUCCAACCUGGUUCGCCUGACUGCGCUCCACCAAACGACGUCGGGGUCUUCCAACCCUUGUUAGUCAAGCUUCUCUGGGGAAUUGUUUUUUCUCCCUUCAACUCUGCUCCUCUGCCCUCCUUUGAGGACUGUGUUUUUUUUCCCAGCUUGAGGUGAGAGUAGGGUGGAGGUUUGGAGGUGGGAGAGGUACAUUAUAAAAUGGGUUGUUUAAUGGAACAUCCUUACACAUCUUUCCUUGUAGAAAAGGGAUUUGGAGAAGUUCCCGUUGUGGCGCAGUGGUUAACGAAUCCGACUAGGAACCAUGAGGUUGCGGGUUUGAUCCCUGGCCUCUCUCGGUGGGUUAAGAAUCCCGUGUUGCCAUGAGCUGUGGUGUAGGUCGCAGACGUGGCCGGGAUCCUGCUGUUGCUGUGGCUGUAGCGCUGGCAGCUACAGCUCCAAUUAGACCCCUAGCCUGGGAACCUCCAUAUGCCGUGGGAACGGCCCAAGAAAUGGCAAAAAAAAAAAAAAGACAAAAAAUAAAAAAUAACAUAUAAAUGAAGGUCAAAAUAUCUAAACCAUGUAUAUAUUGUCUCAACUUAUUUUUCAUACAUUAAUUCAUGUGCCCAUGGUAAUUCUUUGUGCCAUCCUUGUUCCAGAUGACGGACAUAUAGCAAUGAACAAAGCGGACAGGUUUUUGGAGUUUGCAGCCUCUCUUGCAAGAUGAUUAUUAGGUACUAAC
rnacentral:lncRNA from 1 species